GAUCUGCAUCAGAUGAGAUCAGCUGACUACGUGUGUGUGCUGUGCAAAAAAUGUUUUUGAACAUUAAUAAGUUGUCUUUGUGCACAUAUUGUUUACAGAUAUCAGACUGCAAAGAGCGCUACAGAGAGUCAACAUUUCACCAGUUGUCAGUGGGAACAGCAUGAUGUAAAUACAAGACGGGCCCUCGUCCUUCGUGCACUUCCUGUGUACCUGCGUGAAGAUGCCUCCACAUUAUUCAGGACUUGUGAUUCAGCAGAUGGUCCAGACCUCACUGACACUCCUGUGGCUCUGCUGUCAGUUGUCAC